rnacentral:rRNA from 1 species
AGAGUUUGAUCCUGGCUCAGAGCGAACGCUGGCGGCGUGCUUAACACAUGCAAGUCGAGUGCGCGGUUGUAGCAAUACAACUGGCGCACGGCGCACGGGUGCGUAACACGUGGGUAAUCUGCCCUCUGAUGGGGAAUAACUCGCCGAAAGGCGAGCUAAUACCGCAUAACAUUCCUUGGACUCCGGUUCGAGGAUUCAAAGGCGUAAGUCGUCGGAGGUGGAGCCCGCGCACGAUUAGCUAGUUGGUAGGGUAAAGGCCUACCAAGGCUAUGAUCGUUAGCUGGUCUGAGAGGAUGGCCAGCCACACUGGAACUGAGACACGGUCCAGACUCCUACGGGAGGCAGCAGUGGGGAAUCUUGCACAAUGGGCGAAAGCCUGAUGCAGCGACGCCGCGUGGGGGAUGAAGCUUCUCGGAGUGUAAACCCUUUCGACCGGGACGAAUACCUCGCAAGAGGGGUGACGGUACCGGUAUAAGAAGCCCCGGCUAACUACGUGCCAGCAGCCGCGGUAAGACGUAGGGGGCCAGCGUUGCUCGGAAUUACUGGGUGUAAAGGGUUCGUAGGCGGUGUGGCAAGUCGGGAGUGAAAUCUCUGGGCUCAACUCAGGGGCUGCUUCCGAAACUGCCGUGCUAGAGUGUGGGAGAGGCGCGUGGAAUUGCAGGUGUAGCGGUGAAAUGCGUAGAUAUCUGCAGGAACACCCGUGGCGAAAGCGGCGCGCUGGACCACUACUGACGCUGAGGAACGAAAGCUAGGGGAGCAAACAGGAUUAGAUACCCUGGUAGUCCUAGCCCUAAACGAUCAGGACUUGGGGUGCCACCCGUUCGGGUGUCGUCCCGGAGCUAACGCGUUAAGUCCUGCACCUGGGGGAGUACGGUCGCAGACUGAAACUCAAAGGAAUUGACGGGGGCCCGCAC